GAUUCACCUUUCCAGAGGAGAAAACAACAAUGGCAGAGAGUUAUGCAGUGAAGCUCCCAGCGAUGCUCAGAAGGGUCACAGCAGUGCAUCCUGUCAGCCACACCAGCGAACCUAUUCCCAUACCUGCAUAAGGUGGUCUGCACUUGCAACAGAAAGAAGACAGGCUCAGAGCACCUUUGUGUUGCGCCCACCUCAGUCUGCAAGGAAGACACAACACGGCUGGAUUCUUCUCAACAGCCUUUAUUGCAGGAACGCCUCGAUGCUGCUAUGAGGACCUCGGGCACCCAGGGAGGUCUGC
rnacentral:lncRNA from 1 species